rnacentral:rRNA from 1 species
GGAGAUCCCCCACACUGGUACUGAGACACGGACCAGACUCCUACGGGAGGCAGCAGUGAGGAAUAUUGGUCAAUGGGCGCAAGCCUGAACCAGCCAUGCCGCGUGCAGGAUGACGGUCCUAUGGAUUGUAAACUGCUUUUGUACAGGAAGAAACCCUCCCUUGUAAGGGAGCUUGACGGUACUGUAAGAAUAAGGAUCGGCUAACUCCGUGCCAGCAGCCGCGGUAAUACGGAGGAUCCAAGCGUUAUCCGGAAUCAUUGGGUUUAAAGGGUCCGUAGGCGGUUUUAUAAGUCAGUGGUGAAAUCUGGUCGCUCAACGAUCAAACGGCCAUUGAUACUGUAAGACUUGAAUUACUUGGAAGUAACUAGAAUAUGUAGUGUAGCGGUGAAAUGCUUAGAGAUUACAUGGAAUACCGAUUGCGAAGGCAGGUUACUACGAGUAUAUUGACGCUGAUGGACGAAAGCGUGGGGAGCGAACAGGAUUAGAUACCCUGUAUUCCACGCCCGUAAACGAUGGAUACUAGCCUGUUUGGAGCAAUCUGAGUGGNUAAG